UGGGGGGGGUGACAUACAUGCAAGUCGACGCACAGCGAAAGGUGCUUGCACCUUUCAAGUGAGUGGCGAACGGGUGAGUAACACGUGGACAACCUGCCUCAAGGCUGGGGAUAACAUUUGGAAACAGAUGCUAAUACCGAAUAAAACUUAGUGUCGCAUGACACAAAGUUAAAAGGCGCUUCGGCGUCACCUAGAGAUGGAUCCGCGGUGCAUUAGUUAGUUGGUGGGGUAAAGGCCUACCAAGACAAUGAUGCAUAGCCGAGUUGAGAGACUGAUCGGCCACAUUGGGACUGAGACACGGCCCAAACUCCUACGGGAGGCUGCAGUAGGGAAUCUUCCACAAUGGGCGAAAGCCUGAUGGAGCAACGCCGCGUGUGUGAUGAAGGCUUUCGGGUCGUAAAGCACUGUUGUAUGGGAAGAACAGCUAGAAUAGGAAAUGAUUUUAGUUUGACGGUACCAUACCAGAAAGGGACGGCUAAAUACGUGCCAGCAGCCGCGGUAAUACGUAUGUCCCGAGCGUUAUCCGGAUUUAUUGGGCGUAAAGCGAGCGCAGACGGUUUAUUAAGUCUGAUGUGAAAGCCCGGAGCUCAACUCCGGAAUGGCAUUGGAAACUGGUUAACUUGAGUGCAGUAGAGGUAAGUGGAACUCCAUGUGUAGCGGUGGAAUGCGUAGAUAUAUGGAAGAACACCAGUGGCGAAGGCGGCUUACUGGACUGCAACUGACGUUGAGGCUCGAAAGUGUGGGUAGCAAACAGGAUUAGAUACCCUGGUAGUCCACACCGUAAACGAUGAACACUAGGUGUUAGGAGGUUUCCGCCUCUUAGUGCCGAAGCUAACGCAUUAAGUGUUCCGCCUGGGGAGUACGACCGCAAGGUUGAAACUCAAAGGAAUUGACGGGGACCCGCACAAGCGGUGGAGCAUGUGGUUUAAUUCGAAGCAACGCGAAGAACCUUACCAGGUCUUGACAUCCUUUGAAGCUUUAGAGAUAGAAGUGUUCUCUUCGGAGACAAAGUGACAGGUGGUGCAUGGUCGUCGUCAGCUCGUGUCGUGAGAUGUUGGGGUUAAGUCCCGCAACGAGCGCAACCCUUAUUGUUAUUUGCCGCCAUUCAGAUGGGGCCUCUAACGAGAAUGCCGGUGACAAACCGGAGGAAGGGGGGGGAGAAAAUCAGAUAACAUGGCCCCUAUUAACUGGGGGUACCACCGGCUCCAAGGGGGUAAUAAAAAAUUGCCACCCCCCGGGGGGAGCAAAUCCUUAAAG
rnacentral:rRNA from 1 species